rnacentral:lncRNA from 1 species
UUGAUAUUAGUAGUCAGACACAGACGAGCAGCCAUUGCGACUGCCGUUGUCCUUAUUGGCUAUUGAGCUGAAUAAAACUGUUUGAAAUUGACUCAUGAAGAUCCAAAGGGAAUGAAUUACAACUUAAUGAGUUGAUUUUGAAAUAUUGAUUAUAAUUAUUUUUCAGUAUUAGAUUGAUUUAUCAUUCAUAAGGUUGGAGAAAGAGGACAAGAAAAUUUUUUAUUACUUGUGAUAUAAUCUUGCAACAAAAGUGCUAUAAUUAUACUCUUAUUAUCCACGAAUUCCUUUGUUCGAAAGGAAUAGAAACCUUCCAAAAAGAACAAAAUAGAUGUCUGAUAAUAGUGUUUUUAAUACGUUCAAAUCCGUCAUGUCUUAUUCAUUCAAGAAAAAAAGUGGUUACAUUGGAGAUGAUACUUUCAUGUAUGGAAAAACUAAGAAGAAUAAUUCCUCAGAACCUAAAAUCCUAAGCUUCAAAUAUAUCAACGAGGACACCGCAUUACCUGGACCACAGACGAAAGAGCUCAUUGUGAACUCUGAGCAUUUUCAUGAACUCAAUUUGAUUUACGAUGAUGCAGUAAUCGUAGGAAGCGUUGGAGAGGACACUGCAAAAGAAACUGGAAUAAGGAUUGGAGAUCGAUUGAUUGCAGUGAGUGGUGUUUGUGUAGUAUCAUUCACAAUGGAACAAACUAUUGAAUUGAUAACUCGAGAGCUUCGAAAUUCCUCAAAAUUGAAGUUGACACUAAGGGAAAAAGAGUCAGUUCAGAUUUGAACAAUUUUGUUGAUUGAGCAAGGUUGGUGUGUCUGAAUUUGGACUUGGUGCAUCUUGACAUAUUAUCAUUAUUAUUAUUAUCAGCAACUAUAUGGACCUUCUGUCAAGAAAAUGUUCCUCAUUUACAAUUACUUCUUCGUCAGAAACUUUCUUAUUUUGUAUAAUUUUCCAGAUCUGUUAUCGUGGAAGUCACGUACUUUCUAGAGUAAUCCUCCACUUCUAUAAAAAAAAAUAUUAUAUUCAAAUUAUAUGUAUCAAUCCAUCAAUAAAUUAUAUAUUUAUAUUUAACGAGCAAUAACAAAUUUACCUUU